UACAGAGGUCCCAAGCGUUGUUCGGAUUCAUUGGGCGUAAAGGGUGCGUAGGCGGCGCGGUAAGUCGGGUGUGAAAUCUCGGAGCUUAACUCCGAACUGCAUUCGAUACUGCCGUGCUUGAGGACUGGAGAGGAGACUGGAAUUUACGGUGUAGCGGUGAAAUGCGUAGAUAUCGUAAGGAAGACCAGUGGCGAAGGCGGGUCUCUGGACAGUUCCUGACGCUGAGGCACGAAGGCCAGGGAGCAAACGGG
rnacentral:rRNA from 1 species